rfam:Mycobacterium xenopi RIVM700367 contig22, whole genome shotgun sequence.
GUUGACGUUGGCGAUGAAGCUCGCCUUGAUUGCCGCACCGGCUGAUGGCUUCUACCGCGUG